rnacentral:rRNA from 1 species
GCCUAUACUGCAGUCGAGCGGACAGAAGGGAGCUUGCUCCCGGAUGUUAGCGGCGGACGGGUGAGUAACACGUGGGUAACCUGCCUGUAAGACUGGGAUAACUCCGGGAAACCGGAGCUAAUACCGGAUAGUUCCUUGAACCGCAUGGUUCAAGGAUGAAAGACGGUUUCGGCUGUCACUUACAGAUGGACCCGCGGCGCAUUAGCUAGUUGGUGAGGUAACGGCUCACCAAGGCGACGAUGCGUAGCCGACCUGAGAGGGUGAUCGGCCACACUGGGACUGAGACACGGCCCAGACUCCUACGGGAGGCAGCAGUAGGGAAUCUUCCGCAAUGGACGAAAGUCUGACGGAGCAACGCCGCGUGAGUGAUGAAGGUUUUCGGAUCGUAAAGCUCUGUUGUUAGGGAAGAACAAGUGCAAGAGUAACUGCUUGCACCUUGACGGUACCUAACCAGAAAGCCACGGCUAACUACGUGCCAGCAGCCGCGGUAAUACGUAGGUGGCAAGCGUUGUCCGGAAUUAUUGGGCGUAAAGGGCUCGCAGGCGGUUUCUUAAGUCUGAUGUGAAAGCCCCCGGCUCAACCGGGGAGGGUCAUUGGAAACUGGGAAACUUGAGUGCAGAAGAGGAGAGUGGAAUUCCACGUGUAGCGGUGAAAUGCGUAGAGAUGUGGAGGAACACCAGUGGCGAAGGCGACUCUCUGGUCUGUAACUGACGCUGAGGAGCGAAAGCGUGGGGAGCGAACAGGAUUAGAUACCCUGGUAGUCCACGCCGUAAACGAUGAGUGCUAAGUGUUAGGGGGUUUCCGCCCCUUAGUGCUGCAGCUAACGCAUUAAGCACUCCGCCUGGGGAGUACGGUCGCAAGACUGAAACUCAAAGGAAUUGACGGGGGCCCGCACAAGCGGUGGAGCAUGUGGGUUUAAUUCGAAGCAACGCGAAGAACCUUACCAGGUCUUGACAUCCUCUGACACCCUAGAGAUAGGGCUUCCCUUCCGGGGACAGAGUGACAGGUGGUGCAUGGUUGUCG